GUCCACGCCCUAAACGAUGGACACUACGUGCCGGCGGGUCUCCGUCGGUGCCGCAGCUAACGCAGUAAGUGUCCCGCCUGGGGAGUACGGCCGCAAGGUUGAAACUCAAAGGAAUUGACGGGGGCCCGCACAAGCGGUGGAGCAUGUGGUUUAAUUCGACGCAACGCGAAGAACCUUACCCAGGCUGGACAUGCUGGUUCGUACCGACCAGAAACGGAAGGGAGCCCGCAAGGGCCGCCAGCUCAGGUGCUGCAUGGCUGUCGU
rnacentral:rRNA from 1 species